UACGUAGGGUGCAGGCGUUGUCCGGAAUUAUUGGGCGUAAAGAGCUCGUAGGCGGUUUGUCGCGUCUGCUGUGAAAACGCGAGGCUCAACCUCGCGCCUGCAGUGGGUACGGGCAGACUGGAGUGCGGUAGGGGAGAUUGGAAUUCCUGGUGUAGCGGUGGAAUGCGCAGAUAUCAGGAGGAACACCGAUGGCGAAGGCAGAUCUCUGGGCCGUAACUGACGCUGAGGAGCGAAAGCGUGGGGAGCGAACAGG
rnacentral:rRNA from 1 species